UACAGCCACAUCACCUUGAAAUACCAAUUCCCAUAAAAUCACCAAAGUUAAACAAUUUCAAGCCUAGUCAGUACUUAGAUGAGUGACCACUUGGGAAGACCAGGGGUUGUAAG